UACGUAGGGGCCGAGCGUUGUCCGGAGUUAUUGGGCGUAAAGCGCGCGCAGGCGGCCUCGCGCGCCCGACGUGAAAGCCCCCGGCUUAACCGGGGAGGGUCGUUGGGGACGGCGGGGCUUGAGGGCGGGAGAGGUCGGUGGAAUUCCCGGUGUAGUGGUGAAAUUCGUAGAUAUUCGCAAGAACACCAGUGGCGAAGGCGGCUCACUGGCCCGAUACUGACGCUGAGGCACGAAAGCGUGGGGAGCAAACAGG
rnacentral:rRNA from 1 species